GAGAGAUGGCUGAGCGGUCGAAGGCGGCGGUCUCGAAAAUCGCUGUACGGGCAACCGUACCGAGGGUUCGAAUCCCUCUCUCUCC
rnacentral:tRNA from 2 species